UACGUAGGGUGCAAGCGUUUGUCCGGAAUUAUUGGGCGUAAAGCGCGCGCAGGCGGCCUGGAAAGUCUAUGGGUGAAAUGCCGGGGGCUCAACCCCGCGCAUGCCCCAGGAUACUGCCAGGCUGGAGACACGUAGAGGCAGGCGGAAUUUCGGGGUGUAGCGGUGGAAUGCGUAGAUAUCCGAAGAACACCAGUGGCGAAGGCGGGCCUGCGUGGGCGUGAUCUGAGCGCUGAGGCGCGAAAGCGUGGGGGAG
rnacentral:rRNA from 1 species